AUGGCUCCGGUGAGGGGGGGUGACUCGUCGGUGCCUCGUGGUCAAUGGGGUGAUGAUGGUCUCAACGCGUAUGGUGACGGACAGCACCGGGGAUCCUCGUCCACAGGUGGUGGGCGGGGGUAUGCUUGGCAAUGUGACGGCUCGACCGAAAGACCUUUCCUGGGGCCUACGGGAGGUUUCGUCGAAGGGCCGGCCGGACCAGCUCAUAGGAACCGUGGUGGUUUUCGUGGUAACCGUGGUGGACGGGGCGGCCGAGGUGGUCGCUAUCGCCCAAGGCAGCAGCAUGUUGUCGUGGAUCAGACACCGAUUGGUGUAAAUACCGAUGAGACUGCGUUGACUUGUCAGGCUAUGGAGGUUGUUACAGCUCUGGCGGAGGCGGUUCCUACUAAUAAUGGCGAGGUUGAGGUGAUGUCAGUGGAGGGAUCUGAAAAGGCUGAGCUGGACAGGGCGGCAAAGUAUGCGCGAAAAAAAGAAAGAAUGUUAUGCUAUCGCUGUGGCAACAAAGGCCACUUCAUUGCUGAGUGUGUGGCAGUCUUAUGCGAUACG
rnacentral:rRNA from 1 species